CCAAUAGCGUAUAUUAAAGUUGUUGCAGUUAAAAAGCUCGUAGUUGAAUUUCGGGAUCAAUACGUCGGUCGUGCUUUUUUGGUACGCACUGGCGUCAUUGGUUUCUCCUUUCUGACGAACCAUGAUGUCAUUAAUUUGGUGUUAUGGGGAGUUAGGACUGUUACUUUUAAAAAAUGAGAGUGUUUAAAGCAGGCAUUAGCUUGAAUACAUUAGCAUGGAAUAAUGAAAUAGGACGUUCGAUCCUAUUUUGUUGGUUUCUAGGAUCAACGUAAUGAUUAAUAGGGAUAGUUGGGGGCAUUAGUAUUCAAUUGUCAGAGGUGAAAUUCUUGGAUUUAUUGAAGACUAACUACUGCGAAAGCAUUUGCCAAGGAUGUUUUCAUUAAUCAAGAACGAAAGUUAGGGGAUCGAAGACGAUCAGAUACCGUCGUAGUCUUAACCAUAAACUAUGCCGACUAGGGAUCGGAUGAUGUUAAUUUUUUAAUGACUCAUUCGGCGCCUUACG
rnacentral:rRNA from 1 species